rnacentral:lncRNA from 1 species
GGGGUACUUAGAUUUCCCCCGAUUUGGCCGAAAUUGGCCAUUUGAUGACGUUAACCCUUAAGAAUGAUGUCAAGCGCUCCAUCAUUAGGAGAAACAUGUCAUUUAACAUAAUUUGGGUUACUCAAACUUCACCCGACUAGACCCAAGAACAAAAUACCGCAACCCAAUAAUUUAUGAUUAAUUUUAAAGCAUGCAAUUUGGUAAAUUAACAAUUUAGGCACG